UACAGAGGGUGCGAGCGUUGUCCGGAAUCACUGGGCGUAAAGGGCGCGUAGGUGGCGACCCAAGUCGAUGGUGAAAGCUCGCCGCUCAACGGCGAGUCGGCCACUGAUACUGGGUUGCUGGAGCACUGUAGAGGCAGAUGGAAUUCCGGGUGUAGCGGUGGAAUGCGUAGAAAUCCGGAAGAACACCGGUGGCGAAGGCGGUCUGCUGGGCAGUUGCUGACACUGAGGCGCGACAGCGUGGGGAGCAAACAGG
rnacentral:rRNA from 1 species